rnacentral:rRNA from 1 species
UACGAAGGGUGCAAGCGUUAAUCGGAAUUACUGGGCGUAAAGCGUGCGUAGGCGGUGAUUUGAGUCUGCUGUGAAAUCCCCGGGCUCAACCUGGGAAUGGCAGUGGAUACUGGAUCGCUAGAGUGUGAUAGAGGAUGGUGGAAUUCCCGGUGUAGCGGUGAAAUGCGUAGAGAUCGGGAGGAACAUCAGUGGCGAAGGCGGCCAUCUGGAUCAACACUGACGCUGAGGCACGAAAGCGUGGGGAGCAAACAGG